rnacentral:rRNA from 1 species
UGCCCGAACGUAACACGACACACUAUUGUCCGCCAAAUAACUACGAGUACAAACUUAAAAUUUAAAGGACUUGACGGUAUUUCACACUCAGCCUAGAGGAGCCUGUCUACUAACCGAUAAUCCACGCUUAACCCAACCGUUUCUAGCCCCCAGCCUAUAUACCACCGUCGCCAGCCUACCUUACAAAAGAAACACAGUAAGCUAAAUAGCAAUUACACUAAAACGACAGGUCAAGGUGUAGCUAAUGAAACGGACUAAGAUGGGCUACAUUUUCUAACUCAGACUAUACGAACCAGGUUAUGAAAUAAACCUUCGAAGGCGGAUUUAGCAGUAAGCUGAGAACACAAUACUCAACUGAAACCAAUGCAAUGAAAUGCGU